rnacentral:misc_RNA from 1 species
UUUCCGUAGGUGAACCUGCGGAAGGAUCAUUAUCGAAGCUCGAAGGGGGGGUGUCUUGCGUUCCGGUCGCCAGCGCCGGCUUCUGCCGUUUUGCAGCGGUGCCGGCUCGCCCCCUCGUCCAACCCUUCACACCCCUGUGCACCUUUUUAAAACCUUUCUCUGGAGGGGGAUGGCAAAAGGGCCGGCUGCGGGAACGCGGCGGGCCCCGAUCCUCCCCACCUGGGGGGGUUUACAAACUCUGUCGAAACGCGUGUGUUGCGCGGCCUCCGUGCCGUCCUAACAAACUUUGUAACAACUUUCAACAACGGAUCUCUUGGCUCUC